ACGCUGAAGGCAUCUAAGCGUGAAGCCCCCCUCAAGAUGAGAUAUCCCAUUCUUAAAGAAGUAAACCCCCUUGAAGACGACGAGGUAGAUAGGGCAGAGGUGGAAGUGUGGUAACACAUGGAGCUGACUGUUACUAAUCGGGUGAGGGCUUGACCAAG
rnacentral:rRNA from 1 species